UAUCAGCUUAAACUGACCAAUUGAAUCAAAUCCUCAGUUGUCUUGUCUCUCACAUUUUCCUUAUGCCUUGGUGGGCUCUCUCUCAACGUUCAACUCCUUCUUUGCUUGCCGAUCAGUGUGGAAUGAGGAGCAUAGCAACUUGCUAAAGCCAGCAUGCCAUUAAGGUCUCAGACUCUCACUGCUCAGCCUCUUCAGCUAUCCGCUCUCCUGUCGUCGGCCACUCGUUGCCCGACUCGGUUACUUGCACUUACAAGUCCUGCGUCUCAGCCUUUUCUAUUAAGAAGCAGCAGCUCCUGAUCGCUCUCACUUGGUCCCGCUCCCUCCUUGGACGGGGCCUUGACGUAUCUGUGACUGAUUGUACCACGUGCUGCUCCCCAAAGUCGUGCCCCGGAAUAUCCCAGCGGUUGAGGCACAGGAAAGGCAGCACGGGGUUCCGAGCAUGCGAUUUAAAUAUUGAGAUUUUGUGGGAUCUAAGUGAUGCCCGGUUCAACAAUGGUCCCAAGCCUGUUCGCGGGUUUUACGUCGUUGUUCUUGCCAGCUCUGAGGUCGCGCUAGUUCUCGGUGACAAAGAUGGGGAGCCGGAAGUAAAGAGGUUGAAGUCUGAAGUUCGUGAUGGGGCCAAAUUCUCUUUGAUCUCUCGAAUUAAGCGAGCAUUUUUCAGGCACUGAGGUGUAUUCAACUGAGGCACAGUUUAGAGACUUGGGGCCAGCUCAUGACAUCGUGAUCUGGUGUCGCCGAAGAGAGCGAGAUGGAGAUGGAGGAUGAGAGUAAUGAAAGGAGGAGGAAGUGCCCUGUCUUUGCUCUCUUUCUCGAUGCGAAGAGAGUGUUCAGGCCCUUCAGGGUGAGGAGACUGAUGUGGAACUUCCGGGGGAACCAAGCAAUAUUCGUGGACGGGGUGCUGAUGGACUUCUUAUGGGACAUCCACGACUGGUUCUUUGGUCCCGAAUAUGAAUAUGGUUUCGGUGUUUUCAUGUUGCGGACGAGGAGCGGCCUCGACAGUAGGCUCAGGUUGGGGGAGGAGAAGUUGAUGAGUUUCGAUCCCGAGAAGGGAGGAAGUCCUCCCGAUGAGGGGAUCGAAUUCUCCCUCCUAAUAUGUUCCGACAUGAAAACCAUAUGGUCUGAGGCCUUCAGAUUGUGAACGUCCCGGACUUAUUAUUCAAGAGCUCGAAAAAUCCGUUCCCUUUUUUUUUUUUCCCCAC